rnacentral:rRNA from 1 species
GACAGAGGAUGCAAGCGUUAUCCGGAAUGAUUGGGCGUAAAGCGUCUGUAGGUGGCUUUUUAAGUCCGCCGUCAAAUCCCAGGGCUCAACCCUGGACAGGCGGUGGAAACUACCAAGCUGGAGUACGGUAGGGGCAGAGGGAAUUUCCGGUGGAGCGGUGAAAUGCGUAGAGAUCGGGAGGAACGCCGGUGGCGAAAGCGACAGACUGGGGCUUGGCCGACGCUCAGGCACGGAAGCCAGGGAGGCGAA